rnacentral:rRNA from 1 species
AUUGAACGCUAGCGGGAUGCCUUACACAUGCAAGUCGAACGGCAGCACGGACUUCGGUCUGGUGGCGAGUGGCGAACGGGUGGGUAAUGUAUCGGAACGUGCCCAGUAGCGGGGGAUAACUACUCGAAAGAGUAGCUAAUACCGCAUACGCCCUACGGGGGAAAGGGGGGGAUCGCAAGACCUCUCACUAUUGGAGAGGCAGUAAUCGGGUUAGCUAGUUGGUGGGGGAAAGGCCCACCAAGGCGACGAUCCGUAGCUGGUUUGAGAGGACGACCAGCCACACUGGGACUGAGACACGGCCCAGACUCCUACGGGAGGCAGCAGUGGGGAAUUUUGGACAAUGGGGGCAACCCUGAUCCAGCCAUCCCGCGUGUGCGAUGAAGGCCUUCGGGUUGUAAAGCACUUUUGGCAGGAAAGAAAUCGCAUGGGUUAAUACCCUGUGUGGAUGACGGUACCUGCAGAAUAAGCACCGGCUAACUACGUGCCAGCAGCCGCCGUAA